UUAUUUUCACAGUCUGAAACUCAUUUUUUUUACCUGAUAUGAUAAAAAUAUGAGCUUACUAUACAGAUGACAUAAUAUACAUGCAUUAAAUAAUUUCUAAAAGUAAUAUUUACCUGAGUUUUUGGACUGUCAGUGUAUUACCCUCACUUGACAUUUUGUGUGUGUGUAUGCGUGCCAAGCGGUAGCUCGAUGCCAUUACAUCUUCACACACACACACACAUACUGGUUUCCCGCAAUUGAUUACACACAACCGGAAGAGGCCAGGAAUUUUCCCGGGAGCACGUGGUGGGAAGAUGUAAUGGAGAAAUCGACAGGCUGAAAGACAAUGAAAAUGCCAAAACGGAGGAAUUUAAAUCCAAAGCAUGAUGCAGAGUUUCACAUUGAAACUAGAAAAGACAAAAGAGGACUUGAUGCUAAAUACAUCAGUGAUUUCAAAGGUAGGGGUGUCUUUGCUUGUGAGCCAUUUGAGAAAGGAGACUUCCUUUUAGAAUAUCGUGGUGAACGUGUCAGCAAACAGGAAUGUGAGAGACGAGUGAGGGUUUACCAUGAUGCCUUGAAACAUUUUAUGUUCGAGUUUCGCUUUGAUGGAAAACUUUGGUGGUGCGUAUUAAAGCUGAUGCUUUAUUUGAUUGCAGUGGUCAGACACAUUGCCUUUGAUUGUCAGAACCUAAAUGGGUUCU